CCGCUCCUGUGCAGGAGGCAAGGCAGACGGGCCUCCAGGUCCUGCCUCUGGAGUGGCAGUGCUGAGGAAACACCGUUAGCUCUUAAGGGACACGGGUUCGAGCCCUGGUCUGGGAAGACCCCACAUCCCGCGGAGCAGCUCAGUGCACCAAAACUACCCAGCCUGCGCUCUAGAGCCCACAAGCCACAACUACUGAACCUGCGUGCCACAACUACUGAAGCCCGCAUGCCUACAGCCCAUGCUCUGCAACAAGAGAAGCCACCGCAAUAAGCCCGCGCACCUCAGUGAAGAGUAGCCUCGGCUCCACGCAACUAGAUAAAGCCCGCACGCAGCAGCAGAGACCUAACACAGC